rnacentral:lncRNA from 1 species
AAAGAGUCUCAGCGGGCUAAUACAUCAUGCUAGUUCACAAAACGUUCUGUCUGCUGGCUCGCUUCCUUCGUGAUUUGAUCUUUCUGCAUGGACACCGACGGCAUACACUAGUUAAGCCCGGGCCAUGGCCGAUUUAUGGGUCGGCCCCCGGCAAACACUUAAGGUAAAGAGAAGAAAUGAUAUAAAAGAUAGCAAAAACGGUGAUGUUAU